UACGUAGGGUGCGAGCGUUAAUCGGAAUUACUGGGCGUAAAGCGUGCGCAGGCGGUUUUGUAAGCCAGAUGUGAAAUCCCCGGGCUUAACCUGGGAAUGGCAUUUGGGACUGCAAGGCUGGAGUGCGGCAGAGGAGACUGGAAUUCCUGGUGUAGCAGUGAAAUGCGUAGAUAUCGGGAGGAAUACCGAUGGCGAAGGCAGGUCUCUGGGCUGACACUGACGCUCAUGCACGAAAGCGUGGGGAGCAAACAGG
rnacentral:rRNA from 1 species